GGCUCAGGAUGAACGCUGGCGGCGUGCCUAAUACAUGCAAGUCGAACGGAGAUCUAGCAAUAGUUCUUAGUGGCGAACGGGUGAGUAACGCGUUGGUGACCUGCCCCAAAGAGUGGGAUAACAGUUCGAAAGGACUGCUAAUACCGCAUGUGGUCAUAGAUGUUAGAGGAUUUAUGACAAAAGGAGAAAUCCGCUUUGGGAGGGACCUGCGUCCCAUCAGCUAGUUGGUAAGGUAACGGCCUACCAAGGCGACGACGGGUAGGGGACCUGAGAGGGUGAUCCCCCACAUUGGCACUGAAACACGGGCCAAACACCUACGGGUGGCAGCAGUAGGGAAUAUUGCACAAUGGGCGAAAGCCUGAUGCAGCAACGCCGCGUGCGCGAUGAAGGCCUUCGGGUUGUAAAGCGCUUUUCGGGGAGAUGAGGAAGGACAGUAUCCCCGGAAUAAGGCUCGGCUAACUACGUGCCAGCAGCCGCGGUAACACGUAGGAGUCAAGCGUUAUCCGAAUUCACUGGGCGUAAAGCGCGUGCAGGCGGCUUGGUAAGUUGGAUGUGAAAUCUCCUGGCUCAACUGGGAGAGGACGUUCAAUACUGUCAAGCUAGAGGGCGACAGAGGGAGGUGGAAUUCCCGGUGUAGUGGUGAAAUGCGUAGAUAUCGGGAGGAACACCAGUGGCGAAAGCGGCCUCCUGGGUCGCACCUGACGCUCAGACGCGAAAGCUAGGGGAGCGAACGGGAUUAGAAACCCCGGUAGUCCUAGCCGUAAACGAUGUAGACUUGGUGUCGGUGGGUUAAAAGCCAUCGGUGCCGAAGCUAACGCGAUAAGUCUACCGCCUGGGGACUACGGCCGCAAGGUU
rnacentral:rRNA from 1 species